rnacentral:rRNA from 1 species
CCUACGGGUGGCAGCAGUGAGGAAUAUUGGUCAAUGGCCGCAGGGCUGAACCAGCCAAGUCGCGUGAGGGAUGACGGUCCUAUGGAUUGUAAACCUCUUUUGUCAGGGAGCAAAGGGAGCCCCGUGUGGCACUAUGCGAAUACCUGAAGAAAAAGCAUCGGCUAACCCCGUGCAAGCAGCCGCGGUAAUCCGGAGGAUGCGAUCGUUAUCCGGAUUUGUUGGGUGUAAAGGGGGUGCAGGUGGAAUGUCAAGUCAUCGGUAAAAGUUCGGGGCUCAACCCCGUCGUGCCGUUGAAACGGGCGUUCUUGAGUGAUCGAGAAGUAUGCGGAAUGCGUGGUGUAGCGGUGAAAUGCAUAGAUAUCACGCAGAACUCCGAUUGCGAAGGCAGCAUACCGGCGCUCAACUGACGCUCAUGCACGAAAGCGUGGGGAUCGAACAGGAUUAGAUACCCCUGUAGUC